CCUACGGUGUGCAGCAGUGAGGAAUAUUGGUCAAUGGGCGUAAGCCUGAACCAGCCAAGUCGCGUGAGGGAUGAAGGUUCUAUGGAUCGUAAACCUCUUUUAUAAGGGAAUAAAGUGCGGGACGUGUCCCGUUUUGUAUGUACCUUAUGAAUAAGGAUCGGCUAACUCCGUGCCAGCAGCCGCGGUAAUACGGAGGAUCCGAGCGUUAUCCGGAUUUAUUGGGUUUAAAGGGUGCGUAGGCGGCCUUUUAAGUCAGCGGUGAAAGUCUGUGGCUCAACCAUAGAAUUGCCGUUGAAACUGGGAGGCUUGAGUAUGUUUGAGGCAGGCGGAAUGCGUGGUGUAGCGGUGAAAUGCUUAGAUAUCACGCAGAACCCCGAUUGCGAAGGCAGCCUGCCGGGGUGCGACUGACGCUGAGGCUCGAAGGUGCGGGUAUCAAACAGGAUUAGAUACCCUAGUAGUC
rnacentral:rRNA from 1 species